CACUUCCCCAUUCAAUACAAGCAGCAUCAAUACCCUCAGAUUAAUGUUGUAUAAUGACAAUGUUCUCAAGCACAACCAUAAUUGAAAUAAUUGUGUUCAAGAUAUUAGGAUUACUAACAAUGCAAUAAACUAUCAAUGUCAUAUGUCCCACAACCAAGGCCUUUUCUAACCCCCACCAUGUUCUACUAAUAUUGGGAGUUAUUUUAUUCCUGCAAAUAUCACUUGUCGCUCGACGCCUCUCACUCUCUCCACCUCUCUAUUAUACAAACAUUCUCUAAUUUUUUGUCCCAUAGUACGUCCCUCCGAGUCCUGGAGAGGAAAGAAGUGCAAUUCCAGAGAACCAGUUCAGCUUCAACACAAAACAUGUUCAGUGCAUCUCUACUGCUGCUGCUGGCAGCUGUGUCCUGUGUUCACUGUGAAUAACUCACUCAGCCAGCCUCUAUGACUGUUCAGCCAGGUCAACCACUGACCACCUCCUGUAAAGUCUCAUACUCUUUAUCUAGCUAUUGGACAGCUUGGAUCCGACAACCUGCAAGAAAGGACUGGAGUGGAUUGGGCAAAUAUAUACCGGAAACACAGUCUACAAGGAUUCACUGAAAAAAAGAAGAAAACAGUUACAGAACCACCCACCACAACAGGACCAAGCAGCGUGGUAACGAGCAGGAGAGGCAGCGACGUCAGGAUUUCUGGACAUGGGAGCAGAAUCUGGACUAUAACACUUGGGAAGAGAUAGCCCCAAAAAUGUCAGCCUGUCCAAAGCUGCUAGAGUCUCCCGCCUGUCCAGAGCUGCUAGAGUCUCCCGCCUGUCCAGAGCUGCUAGAGUCUCCCGCCUGUCCAGAGCUGCUAGAGUCUCCCGCCUGUCCUGAGCCGCCAGAGCCGUCAGUCUGCAAGGAGCCGCCAGAGCCGCCAACCAGCCUGAGCUAUCUCUCGGUCCUGAGCUACCUCUCGGUCCUGAGCUACCCCUCGGUCCUGAGCUACCCCUCGGUCCUGAGCUACCCCUCGGUCCUGAGUUGCCCCUCAGUCCGGAGCUGCCCGUUUAGUCCAGUAGGCCCCUUCACUAAAGCGGACAAAGACUAUGGUGGAGUGGGGUCCACGUCCUGCGCCAGAGCCGCCACCGUGGACAGACGCCCACCCAGACCCUCCCCUAUAGAUUUAGGUGUGCGGCCGGAAGUCCGCACCUUUGGGGGGGGGGGGAUUUGGUUAGGUCAUUGGUUAGGUUAGGGUGUGACAUGGGGGAUUUAUGUGUUUCGCCUGGUCUAGGGGUUUUGUAUGUUUAUGGGGUGUCACUGGUCUAGGUGUUUAUGUAAGUCUAUGGUUGCCUAGAUUGGUUCUCAAUUAGAGGCAGGUGUUUAUCGUUGUCUCUGAUUGGGAACCAUAUUUAGGCAGCCAUGUUCUUUGGGUAUUUUGUGGGUGGUUGUCUUCUGUCUUUGUGUCUAUGCACCAGAUAGGACUGUUUCGGUUUUCACAUUUGUUGUUUCGUAUUUUGUAGUGUUCUCAUGUAUGGUCUUUAUUAAACAUGUUGAACUCUAACCACUUGCAUUUUGGUCCUCCUCUCCCUCAACGGAAGAAAACCGUUACAAUUGUACAUACUUAGAGUAUGGAAUAAACACAUUUGUAGUUACUUUUGUCAUAAUUUGUAUGCUUUAAGUCACACAGAAACAGCAUAUUUUCCAUCAUGUUGGUCAAACUGAUGUAAAGUAACUAUUAAUGCAUCCAAUCCAUAAUCUAAGUGUUUAUGUUUGAUAAUCCAUUCCGUUCCACACCGGUCCUGCACUCCUUUUCACAAUGUAGUCUGUUUCUCUCACACAACCACCCCUCUCUCUUCCCUCUGUGACCCUCACAGCUGUGUGGCACCAUGCUUGGUGAACUCCAGUCUGUCACCUGGGUGUUUCAGGGUCCCAGUUUAACAUCUCUGAUGAUUCAGAUAGACAGUUAAAGUAGUUAAGUAGCCCAGGGACUGCAGGGACUGCACUAAUUAUACAUUACCUUGUUUCAGCUGAGGAGAAACUGUAUUUUGUAGAAGCCAGCUGGUAACCAAGAAAUGUUUCCACCACAUGAACACAAUUUGCAUUUGGUUUGAAUAAAUGGUGAGAUGGAUCAAGGAAUCAGAAAUGUUAAUCACAGUUACAUUUAUAUGAUAGACCUUGCUAACAGUUUUAUUAAUUAUAUUAUUUAAUAUUUUCAGUCAAUCACUUCUACUCAUCACACACAAUGUUAUUGACAGACCAUAUUCAUGUUUGUGUUCAUAAUAAAUAUAACAGAAUUUUCAAGAAUUGCAUUGAACAAUGAGUCCUGAACUUAAGUAAUAAAUUGCUCUAUGUGGUUUCUCAAAGCUGUUCUGGGGACCUACCCCGAAUACUUUACUAUGUCCUCAUUGUAAUUGUGUAUAGGGGAGCGAGCUUAAGAAUGUGUUUUAAAAGGCAUGUUUAUCAGAAUGAUUGUUGGGUAUAUUAGUUCAAAGCUUCCAAUGCAUGACUUCUACCCAGGAUACACCUGCACUCUGAUAAAGCCAUUUCUCUGAUAUAAUAAUCUUGAUUAACCCUAAAAAAUGACCAAUGUACAGUACCAUUGUAAAAGUGCAGUGACAUAUAUCUUUUUUAAAACACACAACAGUGAUGUACUGCUGAUGUUGUUUCCAAAAACUUAUGAGAUGACAUACUUACAUUUCUUACAGGGGCCACUUAUAUUAAGGUGUUUGUAAUAUUGUUGUGGGAAAUAUACAAAUGUAAUAUGAUUUAACAUAAAUUAUGUAUAAUAUACCAUUAUUUCAUGACUCUUCUUAAUACACGAUACAUAAUGUUCAUAUGAGGGAAGGCAGGUAGCCUAGUGGUUAGAGUGUUGGGCCAGUAACUGAAAGGUUGCUAGAACAAAUCCCUGAGCUGACAAGUUAAAAAUCGAUCAUUAUGCCUCUGA